GUAAUCGUUGCGGAUGACCAUACAUGGAGAGGACAGUGGCCAUUGGGCCGAGUAAUUGAGGUCAUUAGGAGCCGCGAUAGUCUUAUACGUAGUUGUGUGAUCAAAACAAAAGAGUCAAAAAUUUUAAGACCAGUAACAAAACUAUGCAUACUUGAUUGUUCUCAAUAGAAUUUACAAUAAUUAAUUGAUAUUUUAUUAGUUUUUUGUGUGAUGACAAUUUUUAAGAAAUGUCAUGGUGGGGAGUGUUAGAUUUGAAAUGUAAUUCCAAAUUGUUGGGUUACUUCAUUAAUUAUUACUGAAGUUAUUUAUUUUAUUUGUAAUACUUGUAGAUACGAUUUUGGGUAUAUGCGCAUACAUGUAACGUUGCGCUCUUAUGAAUUGCUAUAUUUCCCGUUUUUAAAGUUUUAUGACGUUUAGCCUUUUACGUACGUUACGUUGUCUAUAGUUUUUAUUCAUUACAAAUUAUUUGAUUACGGAGACACAUCGUUAUUUAUAGAGAGAUCAUAAUCGAGAAUCGGUUGAUAUAAUAUAUGAGUAUAAGAAGCCAAAAUUAAGUGUAAUUUUGAGGAAUAAAAGAUACAUAUUUAUACCGCA